rnacentral:rRNA from 1 species
GCACAGAGUUAGCCGGUGCUUAUUCUGUCGGUAACGUCAAAACAGAAUACGUAUUAGGUAACUGCCCUUCCUCCCAACUUAAAGUGCUUUACAAUCCGAAGACCUUCUUCACACACGCGGCAUGGCUGGAUCAGGCUUUCGCCCAUUGUCCAAUAUUCCCUA